CGGUUGUUAGCCGUCGGAUCUUGGCUCGUGGCCGGACCGUGGUGUCGCGAGGCCUUUAUAGGCUUCUUCGCCUCCUCCGUUCGCGGACGCCGGGAUCCCGYGGCAGGGGUUCGCACUUCUGCGGGCGCACGGACYGACUCCGUGGCCCAGCGGUCGCAUGCGUCCUCGUUGGCUGCGGGGAACCCGUCGGAGGUUGGCGGUUSGCGGGGAGUAGAUCGGUCACCCACCCGACCCGUCUUGAAACACGGACCAAGGAGUCUAACAUGUGUGCGAGUCAAUGGGUCUCGAAUAAGCCCAGAGGCGCAAUGAAAGCAAAGGCAGGACUCGACGCCUGCCGAGUUGGGAUCCUCCUUCCUUCGCGUUGGAGGCGCACCAACGACCCGUCCUGUCCCAUUUAUGGGUUGGGCGGAGUUUGA
rnacentral:rRNA from 1 species